UACGUAGGGUGCAAGCGUUGUCCGGAAUUAUUGGGCGUAAAGAGCUCGUAGGCGGUUUGUCGCGUCUGCUGUGAAAACCCGAGGCUCAACCUCGGGCCUGCAGUGGGUACGGGCAGACUAGAGUGCGGUAGGGGAGAUUGGAAUUCCUGGUGUAGCGGUGGAAUGCGCAGAUAUCAGGAGGAACACCCGUAGCGAAGGCGGCACUCUGGGCCGAUACUGACACUGAGGAGCGAAAGCGUGGGGAGCGAACAGG
rnacentral:rRNA from 1 species